AGCCCGUGAUGAGGGAAUAACCUCAACAUUUCAUUAAAUUGCUCCCAUGCUUCAUAGAUCGAUUCCUCGUCCUUCUGAGUAAAAUUGGUAAAUUGAUUUCUUAAUUGGGUU